AAAAAUAAGAUAUAUAAAUUAUACUUAUUAGCUUUAACAAGUAAUGUAAGUAUGUAAAGAAAUUAUUAUGCAAUUCUAGCUAUGUAUUAAGGAGAGCAAAUUUGAUAUAAAAAGGAAUAUUAUAUAUUUCUAGUUAAUAAGCUCUAGAAUAAAUUUAAUAAUAAACGAAGUGAAGUGAAAUAUCUCAGUAACUUCAGGAAAAGAAAUCAAAAGAGAUUCUAUGAAUAGCGUGAGCGAAAGUAGAUAAGUCUAUUAAGUAAAAUGGUUUAUAAACUGUUUGUGCGCAAGCUAGGGGAACCUUCCUCAAAGACUAAAUAUGAUACAUAAGCGAUAGAUAAUGGGCCGUGAGGUAAUUAGAAGUUAGUAGUAAUUUUAUAAGCAGUUCUAAUAAAUUUAGUUUAAAGAACGUACCUUUUGCAUAAUGGGUCACCAAGUUAACAUUAGAUGCGAGAAAAUUUCGUAGUUAAACCAAACAUUAAAAUAACGAUUAGUGUCUAAAGUUAGACCCGAAGCCUAGUGAUUUUACUAUGAUCAGGAUUAUAAAAGUCCGAACGGGUGAUUGUGGCAAAAAUCUCCGAAGAAUCGUGGUAGGUAUAGUGAAAGACAAUACUGACUAGGAUAGCUGGUUUUCUGCGAAACCUAUAACAGUAGGCAAUUUAAGUAAAUAUCUUAGCAGGUACAGAAUUUAAUCUCAGGCAGUGUUAUAUUGCGCAAAUUGGGGAAUCGUGAAGAUUUUAUCAGUGAGUAUGUAGACUCGGAAUGGCAAAGAUAUAUCUUGAAUGAUCAGACAUAGAAUGAUAAGGUUGAAUUGUAUGUCAAAAGGGAAACAGCCCAGAACAAGAGUUAAGGUUCCUAAAUUAUUUGUUAAGUGAAAGUAAGAAAGUUUUUAUUAAAGUCGACAAGGAGAUAGGCUUAGAAGCAGCCAUAAUUUUAUGACCUCGUAACAGAGCGCUUGUUAAGUUAUAAAAGCAUCGAAAAUAUAACGGAUCUAAACAAUAUACCGAAACCUUGUCCAUAAAUUAAUGCAGGGAUUCUUGCAUAUUUAUGGGGUAGCAGAACGUUGAAUUAGGCUAAAUAGCAAGUUUAUAAAUUUGUUAUGUUAAUUCAAGUGAGAAUGGUGACAUGAGUAACGAAAAGAAUAGUAGAUUUUGGCAAUUUUUUUUCUUAGUAGUAGCCUAGUAAGCUAUAAAAAUACAAAAGAAUAAUUAUCUAAAUACAUUAAAUAAUAGAUCUUAUUUAGUGCUUACAAGAUCUACUAUCCGCCUAAAGCUUAUGGUUAGAAUUAAGUAACGGCCUCUAAGCUUUUUAUCUAAAGAUGGAAGCGAUGAGAAAAUCUUUUAUUAUGAGACGACAUUUAUCUAGUGAAAAAUGUACAGGAAAUAUCAUGAUAUAGUAACCGUACCUAGAAACCGACUACGGUAAGCUAGUAGAGUAUACGAAGGCGUAAUUGAGAUAACAAUCAUAAAGGAACUCGGCAAAUUGACUAUCGUAACUUCGGGAUAAGUAGGGCUCAUUAUUCUUGAUUAAUAUCAGGUAAAGAGGAAGAAACAUAAAAUAAUGUUGUACGACUGUUUAAUUAAAACACAGCACUUUGCUUAAAGAUUAAAAAUCUAUGUAUAAAGUGUGAUAUCUGCCCGGUGCCGGCAGGCUAACAGAGAUGAUUGAAUAUAUUACUAUUUGAUAUUGACGGAAGCCCCGGUUAAAGGCGGCCUUAACGUGAGGGUCCUAAGGUAGCGAAAUGCCUUGGCCGUUAAAUGCGGUCUUGCAUGAAUGGUGUAACGAUACAACAGCUGUCUCUAUGAUUGACUCAGUGAAAUUGGAAUAGCUGUGCAGAUACAGCUUACCACUAGUUAGACGAGAAGACCCUUUGCAGCUUUACUGUUACUAAUGAUAGAUUUUGAUGAAAAAUUUUCAGACUAGAAGGGAAUUGAUUAAAUAUAUAUGAGAAACCUUUAUUUUUAUUCUUCAUUUGAAUGAAUUGAUAUACCUACAAGCGUUAGUAUAUCAUCCUAGUUCAGCCUAUGUUCUUAGUUUACUAAGAAAUAGGUAACCUUGGAAAGGAACUAUUACUAGGAGACAGUUUAUGUGGGGCACAGACCCUGUAAAGAGUAAACAGGUGUGUCUAAUAAUUAUUUUUAUUUUGUUUGCUAUUUUUAUAUAAAUCAUAUUCACUUUGAUAUAAUUCUAGUGUAGUACUUGGUGGGCUCCGCCUUACAAGUUAUACUAUUAUAUUUAUAUCGAAAAUUUAGGUAAGAUUUUGACUAUACUGAAAUUAGAGAUAAUUUAAAAUUUUAUGUACUACUUGGUGGUUCCUUUUUUCUAGCAAGCUAUAAAAAAUACUACAAGCUUAACACUAAAGUUUUAUAGUUAUUCGUAUUUAUAUACGAACUAAUUAUGUUUUGAAUAUCUAAAAAGCUCAACGGCUUAAUCUUGCCUUACUGUUUGAUUAUCGACAAAUCUUACAGUUGCGUAAGCAGAGCAUAGGAUCACAAGAUGCAAUAAGGAAAGAUCUUGGAUUAUUGGAAAAGCUACGCUAGGGAUAACAGGCUAAUUUGCGCAAGAGUGUACAAAAUGAGUGCGCGGUUUGGCACCUCGAUGUCGGCUUAACUUAUCCUCAUGGAUGCAGAAACUGUGUAGGGUGCGACUGUUCGUCGAUUAAAAAGUUACAUGAGCUGGGUUAAAUACGUCGUGAGACAGUAUGGUUUCUAUCUUCUAGUGGAAAUUAGAAUAAAAUAAGAACGAACUUUUGUACGAAAGGAACAAGAAUGAUUUUGUAACUUGCUAUAAUUUUAUUAGCAAGUGACAAAUUAUAGUUACUAACCUAUGGUUUACCUGUUGUUUAUAUGCCCUGUUAUUAAAUAUAUAAAUUGCAUGAAUAUAUUACUAUUAAUAUAUUUAUUAAUUAGUAUUAGUCGCUUCGCAUAAAUAUUUAUAUUUAGAUCAAUACCAUGCUAAUUUAGUAAUACACUACUAUUUAUAUAUAUGUAUAUAUUAAUAAUAUAUACAGAGGAUGUAUCGUUCACUAGGAUAAUAUAUUAUAUAGGCACGGCAGGAAAGCUAAGUUGGUUAAAGAUAAGUGCUGAAAGCAUAUAGGCACGAAGCUUAUCUUAAUAUAUCUCUUAAAUAUAUGUAUUAGAAUAAUACACAAUAGGCUUUCUUUGUAAGGAUCUCGAGAUUUGUAAGAUGAAAGUACUAAUUUUAUAAAAUACUAUGUAUAUAUAUAUCAUUUUU
rnacentral:rRNA from 1 species